UACGAAGGGGGCUAGCGUUGCUCGGAAUCACUGGGCGUAACGGGUGCGUAGGCGGGUCUUUAAGUCCGGGGUGAAAUCCUGGAGCUCAACUCCAGAACUGCCUUUGAUACUGAGGAUCUUGAGUUCGGGAGAGGUGAGUGGAACUGCGAGUGUAGAGGUGAAAUUCGUAGAUAUUCGCAAGAACACCAGUGGCGAAGGCGGCUCACUGGCCCGAUACUGACGCUGAGGCACGAAAGCGUGGGGAGCAAACAGG
rnacentral:rRNA from 1 species